ACAGACGGGAUAUAACCGCGCCAUACCUUCCUGAUGAAAGGGAGGCAUGGUGAGGAAAAGUCCGGGCUCCUCCGGAAAAAAUGCCGGAUAAUUUCCGGGCGGCCUGCCUAGUUCUGCAUGAAGCCAUGCAGAACUAGGCGCCGACAGACAGUGCAACAGAAAAUAUACCGCACGGCUUGCCGUGCAAGGGUGAAAAGGCAGUGCAAGAGACUACCGCAUGGGUGGCAACACGCAUGGCAGUGCAAACCUCAUUUGGAGCAAAAUCAAGCAGAAGCAUGCUUUUCCGGGCUGAAGCUUCGGGUGGAUUGCGGAAAAUCCGCCGGGCGACCGGCGGGUAAGAUAGAUGGUUAUGGUGCCGUGAAAGCGGCAUUGCCAGAACCCGGCUUACUGUCCCGUCUGUUUUU
rnacentral:RNase_P_RNA from 1 species